rnacentral:siRNA from 1 species
CUGACUUGGGUAUAGGGGCGAA